AGUGAACGCUGGCGGCAGGCCUAACACAUGCAAGUCGAGCGGCAGCGGGUCCGUCGGGAUGCCGGCGAGCGGCGGACGGGUGAGGAAUACAUCGGAAUCUGCCCUGUCGUGGGGGAUAACCUAGGGAAACUUAGGCUAAUACCGCAUACGACCUACGGGUGAAAGCGGGGGAUCGCAAGACCUCGCGCGACAGGAUGAGCCGAUGUCCGAUUAGCUAGUUGGCGGGGUAAAGGCCCACCAAGGCGACGAUCGGUAGCUGGUCUGAGAGGAUGAUCAGCCACACUGGGACUGAGACGCGGCCCAGACUCCUACGGGAGGCAGCAGUGGGGAAUAUUGGACAAUGGGCGCAAGCCUGAUCCAGCCAUGCCGCGUGGGUGAAGAAGGCCUUCGGGUUGUAAAGCCCUUUUGUCCGGGAAGAAAUCGUCUAGGCUAAUACCCCGGGCGGAUGACGGUACCGGAAGAAUAAGCACCGGCUAACUUCGUG
rnacentral:rRNA from 1 species